GAUGAACGCUGGCGGCGUGCCUAAUACAUGCAAGUCGAGCGAACAGACGAGGAGCUUGCUCCUCUGACGUUAGCGGCGGACGGGUGAGUAAAACGUGGAUAACCUACCUAUAAGACUGGGAUAACUUCGGGAAACCGGAGCUAAUACCGGAUAAUAUCUUGAACCGCAUGGUUUAAUAGUGAAAGACGGUUUUGCUGUCACUUAUAGAUGGAUCCGCGCCGCAUUAGCGAGUUGGUAAGGUAACGGCUUACCAAGGGGACGAUGGGUAGCCGACCUGAGAGGUGGAUCGGCCACCCUGGAACUGGACCACGGUCCAGACUCCUACGGGAGGCAGCAGUAGGGAAUCUUCCGCAAUAGGCGAAAGCCUGACGUAGCAACGCCGCGUGAGUGAUGAAGGUCUUCCGAUCGUAAAACUCUGUUAUUAGGGAAGAACAAAUGUGUAAGUAACUAUGCACUUCUUGACGGUACCUAAUCAGAAAGCCACGGCUAACUACGUG
rnacentral:rRNA from 1 species